rnacentral:rRNA from 1 species
UACGGGGGGGGCAAGCGUUGUUCGGAAUUACUGGGCGUAAAGGGCUCGUAGGCGGCCAACUAAGUCAUACGUGAAAUCCCCCGGCUUAACCGGGGAACUGCGUCUGAUACUGGAUGGCUUGAGUUCGGGAGAGGGAUGCGGAAUUCCAGGUGUAGCGGUGAAAUGCGUAGAUAUCUGGAGGAAUACCGGUGGCGAAGGCGGCAUCCUGGACCGACAUUGACGCUGAUGAGCGAAAGCUAGGGGAGCAAACGGG